GGCACUAUAGCCAAGUGGUUACGGCGACAGAUUAGAAUCAUUGAAUAUCUAUCUGUUUCCCUCUGGGAGCGCAGGUUCAAAUCCUGCUGGUGUCG
rnacentral:tRNA from 1 species